GCAGGGGUAGCAGAGCCAGGUCAAACCACUGGCACAAACGCAUGGGGCUUUAUGCGCGGGACUCAAGAUCCCGUCCCGAAGGGGUACGCCGGUUCAAAUCCGGCCCCCUGCA
rnacentral:tRNA from 1 species